UCUUAAGUACAUGCCUACAAUGUUAAUGCAUUAGAGGCCAUCAAAACUUUACAGUUAAACACACUUGGGAUAGAGUAGUACUAGGAUCGGUGACCUCCCAAGAAUUCUUAGUGUUUUACAU
rnacentral:rRNA from 1 species